rnacentral:rRNA from 1 species
AGAGUUUAGUCAUGGCUCAGGAUGAACGCUAGCGGCAGGCUUAACACAUGCAAGUCGAGGGGUAACGAUUAGUGCUUGCACUAAGGCGACGACCGGCGCACGGGUGCGUAACGCGUAUAGAAUCUACCUUAUACUGGAGAAUAGCCUUUGGAAACGAAGAUUAAUGCUCCAUAGUAAGUAAAAAUGGCAUCGUUUUUACUUUAAAGCUCCGGCGGUAUAAGAUGACUAUGCGUCCUAUUAGCUAGAUGGUAAGGUAACGGCUUACCAUGGCAACGAUAGGUAGGGGUCCUGAGAGGGAGAUCCCCCACACUGGUACUGAGACACGGACCAGACUCCUACGGGAGGCAGCAGUGAGGAAUAUUGGACAAUGGAGGCAACUCUGAUCCAGCCAUGCCGCGUGCAGGAAGACUGCCCUAUGGGUUGUAAACUGCUUUUAUAUGGGAAGAAUAAGACCUACGUGUAGGUUGAUGACGGUACCAUAAGAAUAAGCACCGGCUAACUCCGUGCCAGCAGCCGCGGUAAUACGGAGGGUGCAAGCGUUAUCCGGAAUCAUUGGGUUUAAAGGGUCCGUAGGCGGGUUUAUAAGUCAGUGGUGAAAGUCUGCAGCUUAACUGUAGAACUGCCAUUGAUACUGUAGAUCUUGAAUUAUUGUGAAGUGGUUAGAAUAUGUAGUGUAGCGGUGAAAUGCUUAAGAUUACAUAGAAUACCGAUUGGCG